AGGUGUGGUAUUGGUUAAGGGUCGAUGACAGAGGUGUGGUAUUGGUUAAGGGUGGAUGGUAGAGGUGUGGUAUUGGUUAAGGGUGGAUGGUAGAGGUGUGGUAUUGGUUAAGGGUGGAUGACAGAGGUGUGGUAUUGGUUAGGGGUCGAUGACAGAGGUGUGGUAUUGGUUAAGGGUCGAUGACAGAGGUGUGGUAUUGGUUAAGGGUCGAUGACAGAGGUGUGGUAUUGGUUAAGGGUGGAUGACAGAGGUGUGGUAUUGGUUAAGGGUGGAUGACAGAGGUGUGGUAUUGGUUAAGGGUGGAUGACAGAGGUGUGGUAUUGGUUAAGGGUGGAUGACAGAGGUGUGGUAUUGGUUAAGGGUGGAUGACAGAGGUGUGGUAUUGGUUAAGGGUGGAUGGUAGAGGUGUGGUAUUGGUUAAGGGUGGAUGACAGAGGUGUGGUAUUGGUUAAGGGUGGAUGGUAGAGGUGUGGUAUUGGUUAAGGGUCGAUGACAGAGGUGUGGUAUUGGUUAAGGGUGGAUGGUAGAGGUGUGGUAUUGGUUAAGGGUGGAUGGUAGAGGUGUGGUAUUGGUUAAGGGUGGAUGACAGAGGUGUGGUAUUGGUUAAGGGUGGAUGACAGAGGUGUGGUAUUGGUUAAGGGUGGAUGACAGAGGUGUGGUAUUGGUUAAGGGUGGAUGGUAGAGGUGUGGUAUUGGUUAAGGGUCGAUGACAGAGGUGUGGUAUUGGUUAAGGGUGGAUGGUAGAGGUGUGGUAUUGGUUAAGGGUGGAUGACAGAGGUGUGGUAUUGGUUAAGGGUGGAUGGUAGAGGUGUGGUAUUGGUUAAGGGUGGAUGGUAGAGGUGUGGUAUUGGUUAAGGGUGGAUGGUAGAGGUGUGGUAUUGGUUAAGGGUGGAUGACAGAGGUGUGGUAUUGGUUAAGGGUGGAUGACAGAGGUGUGGUAUUGGUUAAGGGUGGAUGACAGAGGUGUGGUAUUGGUUAAGGGGUGGAUGGUAGAGGUGUGGUAUUGGUUAAGGGUGGAUGGUAGAGGUGUGGUAUUGGUUAAGGGUGGAUGACAGAGGUGUGGUAUUGGUUAAGGGUGGAUGACAGAGGUGUGGUAUUGGUUAAGGGUGGAUGACAGAGGUGUGGUAUUGGUUAAGGGUGGAUGGUAGAGGUGUGGUAUUGGUUAAGGGUGGAUGACAGAGGUGUGGUAUUGGUUAGGGGUGGAUGACAGAGGUGUGGUAUUGGUUAAGGGUGGAUGACAGAGGUG